UGUGUGUGAACUAACAUUGAUGCCCAGAUUCCUACAGCACCAUCGUGUCCCAUCACAGAGGGGCUUCCAGAGGCCAGGACACAUUAUAGCUCACAAUCCCGUAGUCCCAGCCCUGUUUAGUUCCCUAUUCCUUGAGUGCAUAAUGGCAUUGAUGCACUGGCAGCUGGAGUGACCCCCACACCGCGUCUCUAACCUGUGGAUUAAUGGCUCUUAUUGCGCUGAAGGCUAAAGGGAAACCUCUGAAACUGCCCCUAUCCCAACCGAAGCGAUAUUACGUCCCAGGGCAGGUCUUGGAGGUUAUUGCAGGUAUUGUGGGGGGUAGCACCACCAUUAGAGAGCUGUAGGAGGUGGGAUAGUGCUGGAGUUGCCUAUUAUCUCCGUGUAUUCUGUCCUUGCAGAAGCCCAAUAGGACCUAAAGAAUGAACAGGAUUACUUCAGACUUGACCAAGUAGUGGUCUUGAUUGCAGCUGCCAUGCUGGCUGGAUAUCACUGCUAGCAGAAGUUAAUGAGGCUGCAGGCCAAUGGUGUGCAGCCGAGGAUUUGCUGAGUGCAUUCCUUUCCAGCUAGAAAGUGGAUAUGGAGUUAUUCACAUUCAUACCACAUUUAUUUACACUUUCCCUGAGAGCUAUUAUAACUCUUCUGUCAUCUGUAACAUAGUCUUAAGAGAUGCCGGACAUUCUACAGAAUAUUAAAUCUGUUCAUUUCAUUGGCAACAUCAUAGAUUGGGAUGGAUGAGAAAGAAGGUGGAAAGUAUGCUGGAGGUCUUGGUAAAACACAUGCACCCCAGAAAGAGGAGGAUAAAUCUUACAGAAAUUUAGGAGUGGCAACUGCAGUGAAAUUUUAUGGGUCCAGUGGCUAGGUGCAUGCAGAGAUAUUUCUUCCAAGUAAAAACAAAAGAAAACAGAAAAAAAAACCCGUUGCAUCUUUCAUCUUCAGUGAGAAAAAAAAAAAAAAGAGAGAGAAGCGGACUGCCUGGUGAAUCUCUUUGGGUUCUGACAACACCACAUUCCACAUCUAGGUAUAUCAUUUUGGCCACAUUUUGGGUGACAUAGGAGGAUGCCAGAUUCAAGUGGAGCCUACACAGGAAAGGACUCUGCAGCAGAUCCAGGCUGUGGUGCAGGCAGCCACCAUCCCUCAGACCCCCUGGUGCUGGAGGUGGCAGGGCUGGGCAAAGAUGCAGGAUGGAGUGAACUGAGCAUCAGUGGGGAAAGUCACAAUGGAGGGCCUGGGAUUCUGGAGUAAGUUCAUGUCAUCCACAGCAGAAAUAUAUGCCCCUUUCUCGAAGCAACUUUUAGUGUUGCUGGCCCUGAUCAGAUAGAAUUCUUGACCACAGGACACUGAGAACCACGUAAUUCCAAGUGGUUGUAUGAAUUGGCUUCUGUGUGACCUACAGAGUUAUAGAUUGGACAGGCCCAACAGUGUCCAUCAUGAGACGGAAAUGGUCCAUGUGGAAUGAGCCCAAACCCCAAGUUAACACCCCAUCUGCCCAGAAAAUACCUGCCCCUGAGGUGGCACUGAACAACCAAGCAGACAAAUGGAAGUUAGCCAGCCUUCACUGGGGGCCAUCUCAGGCCUUGCAGGGUGGGAACAUGCAUGCAGGAAUCACAAUAGCUCCCUUCAUGUGCCCAUCCUUCCAGGUCACUCAGUGGCCUUGGUCGGUGGGAGUCAGUGCUGCUGGACCCAUAGGUAGCCUCCAAAAGGUGAGACUCCCACCUACCAAGGCCGAACUAGCUGCUGCCACCUCUGAAUAUCCAACUUGUCAGGAUUAGACACCCGUGAUAGGCCCUGAUGUGCCCUGCUUAGGCACUAUUUCUUUAGGUGAUCAAAGUGCCACUAAAUGACACAUUGACCACAUUAAGCCUCAUCAUGGAAGGGCCAGAGAUUCAUCCUCACUGGGACAGAAACUUCCUCCAUGGGUAGGCUUUUUCCCCCACUAUUCUCAGACUCUCAGCCAGCACCACUGACAUUCCUGAUCCACAGGUUUGGAAUUACUCUCAGCACAGCCUCUUCCUGGGGGACCCACCUCACAGGGAAAUGGAAGUGGGUGCAGCAUGGACCAUGACCAGGGGAUCCACUGAUCCUAUCACCAUCUGCACCCUGCGGGGGCUGCCGGCCACACAGAACAUUGGACAGGCCUUCAACAGGCACAACUCAGAACCAGCUUGGAGGAAACACUGAGGAAUGGGUGCCAUCUUUCAGGGCACGGUGCAUUUAUUGAAUCAGAGACAUCACUACGGUGCUGUAUUCUCAGUAGGAAGAAACUUGGGUCCAGAAACCAAGGGAUGGAAGAGAGUGUGGCUGCAUGUCCCAUCCCUUAUAUUCACCCACUGUGGAACUUGGACUUCUCAUAUCCCAAAUCUGGGCUUUGUAGUAUAGGAGGUCCUGGUUUUCCACAGGGAGGCACUCAGACAAGGGGACAAACAAGAGCCCAUUGAGCUACACAUUACAGUUGCCCGCAGGACAGUAUGGGCCUAGAGACAAGCAGGGAAGAAGAGCACUCCCCUCCUCUCCAGGCAGGAGUGAUGGACCCUCAUCCCCAGGACGAGGCAGGGCUGCUGAUACACGGUAAGGGCAGGAGGAGUUUGUGUGGAACCCAGAGAUUCACUUGGGGACUUCCUUGUUUCCCUUGUCCCAUUGUAAAUGUGAACAGAAUCGUCCAGCAACCCAGUCUGACAGCGUUUGAUUUCCAAAGGCCCAGACCCCUCAGGAGGAAGAUUUGAGCCGCAUUUCCAGGAAAUUUCCCAAGGCCUCCCUCCCGUGCUCUGUCAUUCUCAGCAGCAUUGGUGCAGAGGCCCUGCUUCCCAUGGGCUGUUCCCAGCCACUGACACGUAACAGCAGGGGCACUAAGACAGACCAUUCCUGGGCAACAGGAGACUCCUCUGUUGGCCAUCUGUGGCUGGAGGACUCCUCCAUGGCCUUGCUCAACUCUCCUUAGAUUGCUUGUGGUCUAGGAUGCGUCCAACAACCCUUCUUUCCUUUUGUCCAGGACUGGAGUCAGCCUUGCCUCUGGGCCUGCCACUUUUCCCAGGGUUAUCUGGCUCCCUCCCCAUAUUCUCUGACAGGUGUGUCCCCCAAUAAACCUUGUGAGAGGCCCUGAGCCAGAAGCACUCAAGGAAAUCUCUCCCAGAUUCCUGACCACUGGAAACUGUGGGAGAUGAUAAGAAUUUGUUGUUUUGGGUUGUCAAACUUUAUGUUAUUUAUUAUACAACAAUAGACAAUAGCGCUUCAAAAGAGAGAAUGAAUUACUACACUUUAAUUUUUAUUUACUCUAAAUUAACUAAAAGAUAUUCAGUGUUAUUUGGUUUUAAGAUUUCAGUAUUUCCAUGUAUCAAUAGGAUGUAUUUUAUUAACAUUCACAACAAUCUAUUUAUUUGAACUUCAGUUUCCUACUGUGACCCAAUUAAACAGAAAAGGAAGAUCCUGGCUAUGCGAGGAUGAUUCAGUGAUGGCCUCCACAUAACCACCCCUGGUGAUUCACCUUCCCCAGUUACUCAAUCAACACUACUGUAGGUGCCGCUGUGAAGGGAUUCUGCAGAUAUAAGCAAGCAAAGAGAUUCACAGUGUGAGCGAGAUUCAACGUGAGGGGCUUCCUCCGCUGUGAGCUUUGAAAAUGAAGGGGCCAUGUGGCAAAGGAUAUGGCGGGCUCCAGGAAUUGAGAGCAGCUCCACCCCACCUCCACCUGACAGCUGCCCAGGAACAAGGACUACAAUCUCACAACUGCCUGAAACUGAAUUCUGCCACCAAGCUCUGUAUAAGCUUGAAGGAGGACCCCAGCCUCAAGAUGAGGACACAGCUUCGUGAAAUCCUGAACUGAGAAUCAUUCACACCAGGCCUGGAUUUCUCAUUAAGGAAAUGUAGAGAAAUAAAUGGGUGCUGUGUAGAGCCAGUGAGUUAGUGGUAAUAUGUUAUGCAGUAACAGAAAAUUCAUACAUAGGCCAACAGAUAAGCAUAUAACAUUUUCUCUAUUGGAAUAAACUAGUGAAUUGAAAUGUACACUCCUUGUAUAAGAUAAAAUCUUUCCUAAUUUUU